GGUCCAUUGGCGUAAUUGGAAGCGCGUCUGACUACGAUCUCACAGAUCGGGGUAAUCAGGAGGCUCCAGGUUCGAGCCCUGGAUGGAUCG